GGGUUGGCCAUCAGAAGGAAGCCUGGACAGGUCCCUUGUUUCUAAGGUGAUCAAGUAUGGAUUAAAGACUGGAAUGUAGCUUCUUUGUGCCCAUGGUGGAUAGGACCCCAGAUUGUCAUCCUGACCACUCUCACCGCUGUGAAGGUAGAAGGAAUCCCAGCCUGGAUCCACCACAGCCAUGUAAAACCUGCAGCGCCUGAAACCUGGGAGGCAAGACCAAGCCCGGACAACCCUUGCAGAGUGACCUUGAAGAUGAUGACAAGCCCUGCUCCAGUCACACCCAGAAGCUGACUAGUCCAUGCACGGCCGAAGCAUGAGGAAGCUCAUCGUGGAACUCAUUUUUCUUAAAUUUUGGACUUGUACAGUAAGGACUUCAACUGACCUUCCUCAGACUGAGGUAGGGCAAAAAGUUAAAACAGUCUUUCUGUUUAAAAGGGACUUGUGUGUAUAAUGCCACCCAGUACAAGGUAUGCAGCUCAGGAAGUGACCAGACUCAAGUGUGCUACAACCCAGUAGAACUACUUAAUCCCCAUUGGAAAACAAGAGAGUAUGUAACUCUAGGAGUCAAUGGAAUUGGACUGGCAGGAAGACCUAGGUAAUGUAGGUGGAAGUGAGAACUCCCACUAGUGAGUGAGGUUCUCAAAGGGGAGAAUGAGGAGGGAAGCCAUUUCUCUUACUGUCUCCUGUCUCUGAAGAACAGGAGGAAGUAAAAGUUGAAAAACAACAGGAAGGAAGUCAGUGGCAAGACCAGCCAGUGCCACUGAUGACCUGGCCUGAGGUUAAAAGGUUAACCACCCCCCUCUCCUCUAACCACAUGUGCUCUCAAUCCAUCACGACCCUUUCAUGUGGAACCCCUUAGAGUUGUAAGCCCUUAAAAGGGCCAGGAACUCUGUCUUCGGGGAGCUCGGCUCUUAAGAUGCGAGUCUGCCAACGCUCCCAGCCAAAUAAAAACCUCUUCCUUCUUCAA
rnacentral:lncRNA from 10 species